rnacentral:rRNA from 1 species
GCCAGACUCCUACGGGAGGCAGCAGUGGGGAAUAUUGGACAAUGGGGGGAACCCUGAUCCAGCGACGCCGCGUGAGUGAAGAAGUAUUUCGGUAUGUAAAGCUCUAUCAGCAGGGAAGAAAGAAAUGACGGUACCUGACUAAGAAGCCCCGGCUAACUACGUGCCAGCAGCCGCGGUAAUACGUAGGGGGCAAGCGUUAUCCGGAUUUACUGGGUGUAAAGGGAGCGUAGACGGCCAUGCAAGCCAGGGGUGAAAGCCCGGGGCCCAACCCCGGGACUGCCCUUGGAACUGCAUGGCUGGAGUGCGGGAGGGGCAGGCGGAAUUCCUGGUGUAGCGGUGAAAUGCGUAGAUAUCAGGAGGAACACCGGCGGCGAAGGCGGCCUGCUGGACCGCGACUGACGUUGAGGCUCGAAAGCGUGGGGAGCGAACAGGAUUAGAUACCCCAGUA